GGAUCGCUUUGCACAUAGGGAGUAUAUUAGGCUGUCAAUGGAGGAAGACGUUGAAGAUGCAUCUAAUGGAAGUGCAGAAGUCUGGGAUGAAUCACUUGAGGCUCCAUUUUGAGGUUACUUAGGUAAAUCACUUUGAUUUAUGUCAUGAUGGUGGUUUUAUUGGUGGCCUCUGCGUGGAAUAUUGCAUCUUUCUGCCCCUCUUUUCCUUGUACAAGUUGCAAUUUGACACUUGCCUAUGAGGUAGGGAAAAUUUGAGUAUUGAGCCUGUAACGUCACUGCCUUACAGAUUGUAUGUGGUAUGUUCAUCUCUUAGAAUAAUGGCUGCUGUCUGAUCUGUUUUGGUCGCUGAAAUCUGUUGUUUUGUUGAUUGCUGCAGUACUUAUUUUGGAGAAGAGGUCAAUUUUGUCUUUAAAGCUCACAUUAUGUUUGCAUUCAUGAAUGCUGUACUCUUAGGCAAUAGCAUUAGCAUUGCUGCUUGAUUUUUGCAUUAUACCCCGUCUUGUGAUAGUGCUCUGAACCCCAUUCUGUUUUUCCUCGAAUGUGUUUUCAGGCUUAGUCAUGACCAUCUUGCUUGCUAGAAAUCUUCAUCUUGUUUAGUGUGAUGCUGCAUUUGCCUCCAUCAUAUGAAACAUUUUUCUUUUUGCAAUUUUUUCCUUUUUGGUUUAGAUAUUGUUUUGUGUCAAAUGUUUCUACUUGAUUUAUUAGUUUGAUUUUUGCCUAAGGUUUUUGAAUGAACGCUUCAAAUUCUUCUAUGGAGAUGUGAGGCGGGAAACAGUAAACUCAAAGGAUCAUUCUUUCAAUGGUACGUGGCAGCUAUGAACUUUUUAAAGGGAAAGUCCAAGCUCAGUGAGGUGGAAUAUAUCUUUUCCAAUUGCCAGCAGAGAAAUUAUUAAGCCUUUGUUGUGUGCGUAUUGACAAACAAUGGAGGAACAUUACAAGGGAAGUGCUGGUUCAUGAUGCUAAAGUUACUGGAAAACAGAGAUAGUUACCCAGAGGUGAGAUUUUGAUUGUCCGGGUUGAAGUAGCUCAGAACAUUUAGUGCAUUUUUUAUUUAUCAAUUUGUAAGAUAUAAAUAUAUUGUCAAGGUCUUUCCCCUUUUAAUUUAGAAGUUGGUUCUUUUGAUACUUUUUGUCUUUACGGUAACAACUUGGGUGCUGGUUAGGCUUUGUUAUCAAUUUUUUGGAUUGUCAUAUAUCAAUUUCUGCGUUUAUAGGGCUCUCCCCUUCACUUGAUGUAUACAAAAUGGUAGCAUCAUGUUGUCUGUGGAAAACAUACAAGUUUCUAUUUCAAAAUUUUAAAAGCGGCAAAAAAAAAGUUGCCUUUUAGCAAAUGCACGUUUUAGUUCGGAUGUAUUUGUUUGUAGAGACAUGACAGUUGGAUUUCGGAAGUAAUUGUGUAGAAAUGGAAUUUUGGCCUUGUUUGGUUGGGGUAACUUAAUUCAAGAACUUCAAAUUCUCGCUAAAAUUUGGGGUUAACUAUUAGCCUGCCUUCAUUAACUUUCAAUGUUCUCUUUGGAGCUUCAUGAUGUCUGGUUGUGUGAUAUGUGAUUCUCUUUUCAAAAGUAUGUUGCUCGUAUUUCAGAAUUUACUUCUACUUGUUUGUAAAUAUCGGAGAAGAGUAACUAUGGGCUUUCAAGCGUGAAAAUUAUUGUAUUGUUCAAUUAGAUGGAUCUUGAGAUGAGUCGAGGAUUUUCAUUGUCAUGUAAUUUCUUUAGUACGAUGUUCAUUUUUUUUCCUGAUUAUUUAUGAUGCAAAGGAAAGAAAAAAAAAAUGUGUCCGCGUUUCAAAUGCAUAAGCUAGAGUUAAUUUCGUUGCCAAUGUAUAAACAUGGUUAGA
rnacentral:misc_RNA from 1 species